AGUGAACGCUGGCGGUAGGCCUAACACAUGCAAGUCGAACGGCAGCACAGUAAGAGCUUGCUCUUACGGGUGGCGAGUGGCGGACGGGUGAGGAAUACAUCGGAAUCUACUUUUUCGUGGGGGAUAACGUAGGGAAACUUACGCUAAUACCGCAUACGACCUACGGGUGAAAGCAGGGGAUCUUCGGACCUUGCGCGAUUGAAUGAGCCGAUGUCGGAUUAGCUAGUUGGCGGGGUAAAGGCCCACCAAGGCGACGGUCCGUAGCUGGUCUGAGAGGAUGAUCAGCCAAACUGGAACUGAGACACGGUCCAGACUCCUACGGGAGGCAGCAGUGGGGAAUAUUGGACAAUGGGCGCAAGCCUGAUCCAGCCAUACCGCGUGGGUGAAGAAGGCCUUCGGGUUGUAAAGCCCUUUUGUUGGGAAAGAAAAGCAGCAGGUUAAUACCCCGCUGUUCUGACGGUACCCAAAGAAUAAGCACCGUCUAACUUCGUG
rnacentral:rRNA from 1 species